rnacentral:rRNA from 1 species
UACGAAGGGUGCAAGCGUUACUCGGAAUUACUGGGCGUAAAGCGUGCGUAGGUGGUUUGUUAAGUCUGAUGUGAAAGCCCUGGGCUCAACCUGGGAAUUGCAUUGGAUACUGGCAGGCUAGAGUGCGGUAGAGGAUGGCGGAAUUCCCGGUGUAGCAGUGAAAUGCGUAGAGAUCGGGAGGAACAUCUGUAGCGAAGGCGGCCAUCUGGACCAGCACUGACACUGAGGCACGAAAGCGUGGGGAGCAAACAGG